UACGUAGGGUGCGAGCGUUAAUCGGAAUUACUGGGCGUAAAGCGUGCGCAGGCGGUCCGCAAAGUCUGAUGUGAAAGCCCCGGGCUCAACCUGGGAACUGCAUUGGAAACUAACGGGCUCGAGUGUGGCGAGAGGGGGGUGGGAAUUCCACGUGUAGCAGUGAAAUGCGUAGAGAUGUGGAGGAACACCGAUGGCGAAGGCAGCCCCCUGGGCCACUACUUGACGCUGAGAAGCGAAAGCAUGGGGAGCAAACAGG
rnacentral:rRNA from 1 species